UACGUAGGGCGCAAGCGUUGUCUGGAAUUAUUGGGCGUAAAGAGCUCGUAGGCGGUCUGUUACGUCUGCUGUGAAAACCCAGGGCUUAACCCUGGGCUUGCAGUGGAUACGGGCAGACUAGAGGCAGGUAGGGGAGAAUGGAAUUCCCGGUGUAGCGGUGAAAUGCGCAGAUAUCGGGAGGAACACCGGUGGCGAAGGCGGUUCUCUGGGCCUGACCUGACGCUGAGGAGCGAAAGCGUGGGGAGCGAACAGG
rnacentral:rRNA from 1 species